ACAUUUAAUCUCUGAAGCAGGUUUAAAUUCCUUGAUUGUUUUGUACCAUCUGUGUUAGGAUGCAACCACUUUUGCAAGCUCCCAUUUCCCAUGAAUUCAAAGAUUAGAGCUUUGAAUUCAUUAAGUUUAUAAUCCAUGCUUGAGCAACAUGUCAACAUCUUAACAAGAUUUCGAUGCUUGAUACUCAUCAACACUUUGCAUUCAGAAAUAAAGCUAUUGGAA
rnacentral:misc_RNA from 1 species